UCCAGGGUAGCCCAGUGGAUAUGGCAUCUGCCCGGUAAGCGGAACACUGUGGGUUCGAUUCCCAUCCCUGGAC